UGCCGUCCCCCCGUGAGCCUUCCAUCUCUAGUCCAUCUCCAAUCCAUCUUCAGGCGAAUUUGUCCCCUGUGAGCCGUCCAUCUCCACUCUUCGCUUUCUCUUCUCCAGUCCAUCUCCAGUCCAUCUUCGAAGGCUCUCUCUCAAACUCUCACACAUACGCACCACAGUGAUCGUCGAUUUCAAAGGCUCUCUCUCUCAGAUUUCCA
rnacentral:lncRNA from 1 species